GACAAUAACCACAUCCUUCUCAUACAGAAGCUCCUGAGAACACAGCUCCCUCAUCAUGGAUUGGAGCUGGACAAUCCUCUUCUUGGCGGCAGUAACUACAGGCACCCACUCUGAGGUCCAGGUCGUGCAGUCUGGGGAUGAAGUGAAGAAGCCGGGGGCAUCAGUGAAGAUCUCCUGCAAGGCUUCUGGGGAUGAUUUUGCCAGAUUCUAUAUGCAAUGGGUGCGACAGGCCUCUGGGAAAGGGUUUGAGUGGAUUGGAGGAUAUGACGCAUCUGAUAGUGAAACAAAGUACUCACAGAAAUUCCAGGGCAGAGCCACCAUCACCGGCGACACAUCCACGAACACAGACUAUUUGGAGCUAAAUAGUCUGAGCUCUGAGGAUACAGCUGUGUAUUACUGUGCAGUCACACAGUGUGAUAACCACAUCCUGACUGUGUCAAAAACCCCAGGGAAGGAGGCAGCCAUGUCAGAAGGAGGCAGGAGAUGAGAGGGAAAAUUUGAGUGACAGCCUUGCUAAAUGUUUCAGAAAAAGAAACAAUAGAAAGAUGCAUUCACUAUAAUUAGGUGAGGAACAAUGGAAGCCAACUGAACAUAUGUAAAUACCAUGCAAAUAUCUGCAGUGUGGAUAUCAGGAAUGAGGUACAACGUCAAUGAAAGUACAAAUUUUCCAGGCAACAAUUACCCUGUAAGUAAAAUUCAUAUUCAGAGGAGAGUGUCAAAUGGUUGAGUAUAAGUUUCAAAGUCAGUUAAGUAAUUAUCAUGGAGGACAAUUUUUAGAUUACAUAGUAACUCC